AUGGCGAAGCACAACAAGGCGGCCCCACCGCAGAUCCCGGACACCCGGUGGGAGCUGGCGGAGCUGGGGAAGCGGAAACAGGAGCUGGCGGAAACUGGCAAACUUGGAGAGGCAGAUCUAUGCUUUUGAAGAGAGCUACCUGGAAGACACUCAGAUGUAUGGCAAUAUUAUUCGUGGCUGGGACCGGUAUCUGACCAACCAAAAAAACUCCAAUAGCAAAAAUGAUCGAAGGAACUGGAAAUUUGUUACUUUAAGGAAAUUUAAGGAAGCUGACCGGCUCUUCAGUAAAUCUUCAGUUACAUCAGCAGCUGCAGUAAGUGCAUUGGCAGGAGUUCAGGACCAGCUCAUUGAAAAGAGGGAACCAGGAAGUGGGACGGAAAGUGAUACUUCUCCAGACUUCCACAAUCAGGAAAAUGAGCCCAGCCAGGAGGACCCUGAGGAUCUGGAUGGAUCUGUGCAGGGAGUGAAACCUCAGAAGGCUGCUUCUUCCACUUCCUCAGGGAGUCAUCACAGCAGCCAUAAAAAACGAAAGAAUAAAAUCCGGCACAGGACUAUUAGAAGACGCAAUUUGUGCAGAAGCUUCCAGGCUAUAGAGCCCUGCGUCCCUUCUCCGACCUCACAAAGAUGAACAUCCCUCACCUGAGUGUGUGGCCAUCCACCUCGCUCUCGCAGACCCAGUGCCUGUGACUUUUGAGUAGUUUGUUCUAAAUGUGGUGAUGAGUCAUUUCUGUAAGACAUUGGAUCAUUUAAUUUGUGUCAUUUUUAGUAACAGAAUUGCAGGAAGACCAAGACCUGGUUAUAAUUCCAGCAAAUUGCUAACUGUGCAUUUCUCCCUUCUUAGAAUGAAUGUCUUCCCCCAAACUGGCUGGCACCAGCUUUAUGUGUGAUACCUAUCAAGAAAUGUUCUCUAGUUUUAUCUCAUGCUGAAAGUAGAACACAAGUCACAUUUCAGACAGAGGCUGUAAAUAUCUGGCAUUUUCCUGUUUGGUUUUGUGUUUUAUUCUUUUUUAUUGUUGUUUUUACCAUUGUAUUUUCUUCUGGGCCUUUUUUGUAAUGCCUUUGUUAUAGCUCAUACCU